UACGUAGGGCGCAAGCGUUGUCCGGAAUUAUUGGGCGUAAAGAGCUCGUAGGCGGUCUGUUGCGUCUGCCGUGAAAUCCCGAGGCUUAACCUCGGGCCUGCGGUGGAUACGGGCAGACUAGAGGUAGGUAGGGGAGAAUGGAAUUCCCGGUGUAGCGGUGAAAUGCGCAGAUAUCGGGAGGAACACCGGUGGCGAAGGCGGUUCUCUGGGCCUUACCUGACGCUGAGGAGCGAAAGCAUGGGGAGCGAACAGG
rnacentral:rRNA from 1 species